rnacentral:snRNA from 1 species
AGCUUUGCACAGUGGCAGUAUCGUAGCCAAUGAGAUGUAUCCGAGGUGUGAUUAUUGCUAAUUGAUAUGGAUUCUUGGAAAAUCUUGAGGACUUUAAUACUACUAUGCACCAUCUAUUUUGGUGUUUCACUUUAGAUCUUUAUUGCCUUUUUAAAUGAAA